UACGGAGGGUGCGAGCGUUGUCCGGAAUCAUUGGGCGUAAAGGGCGCGUAGGUGGCGGGACAAGCGUGCGGUGAAAGCUCGGGGCUCAACCCCGAGUCGGCCGUGCGAACUGUUUUGCUGGAGCACUGUAGAGGCAGGCGGAAUUCCGGGUGUAGCGGUGGAAUGCGUAGAGAUCCGGAAGAACACCGGUGGCGAAGGCGGCCUGCUGGGCAGUUGCUGACACUGAGGCGCGACAACGUGGGGAGCAAACAGG
rnacentral:rRNA from 1 species